UUCCAGACUCCUACGGGAGGCAGCAGUAGGGAAUUUUGCGCAAUGGGCGAAAGCCUGACGCAGCAACGCCGCGUGAUCGAGACGCCCUUCGGGGUGUAAAGAUCUGUCAGUGGGGACGAAACUUGACGGUACCCACAGAGGAAGCACCGGCUAACUCCGUGCCAGCAGCCGCGGUAAUACGGGGGGUGCAAGCGUUGUCCGGAUUUACUGGGUGUAAAGGGAGCGUAGACGGCAGUGCAAGUCUGAAGUGAAAGCCCCGGGCUUAACCCGGGAACUGCUUUGGAAACUGUACGGCUGGAGUGCUGGAGAGGUAAGCGGAAUUCCUAGUGUAGCGGUGAAAUGCGUAGAUAUUAGGAGGAACACCAGUGGCGAAGGCGGCUUACUGGACAGUAACUGACGUUGAGGCUCGAAAGCGUGGGGAGCAAACAGGAUUAGAUACCCGAGUA
rnacentral:rRNA from 1 species